rnacentral:rRNA from 1 species
UACGUAGGGUGCAAGCGUUGUCCGGAAUUAUUGGGCGUAAAGAGCUCGUAGGCGGCCUGUCGCGUCGGCUGUGAAAACCCGGGGCUCAACCCCGGGCCUGCAGUCGAUACGGGCAGGCUAGAGUCCGGCAGGGGAGACUGGAAUUCCUGGUGUAGCGGUGAAAUGCGCAGAUAUCAGGAAGAACACCCGUGGCGAAAGCGGCUCUCUGGAACGGUACUGACGCUGAGACGCGAAAGCGUGGGGAGCGAACAGG